UAGGGAAUUUUCGGCAAUGGACGAAAGUCUGACCGAGCAACGCCGCGUGUGUGAAGAAGGUUUUCGGAUCGUAAAACUCUGUUGUUAGAGAAGAACAAGGACGUUAGUAACUGAACGUCCCCUGACGGUAUCUAACCAGAAAGCAACGGCUAACUACGUGCCAGCAGCCGCGGUAAUACGUAGGUGGCAAGCGUUGUCCGGAUUUAUUGGGCGUAAAGCGAGCGCAGGCGGUUUCUUAAGUCUGAUGUGAAAGCCCCCAGCUCAACCGGGGAGGAUCAUUGGAAACUGGAAGCCUUGAGUGCAGAAGAGGAGGGUGGAAUUCCAUGUGUAGCGGUGAAAUGCGUAGGUAUAUGGGGAAACACCCGUGGCGAAGGCGACUCUCUGGUCUGUAACUGACACUGAGGCUCGAAAGCGUGGGGAGCAAACAGA
rnacentral:rRNA from 1 species